AUGAAUUGUCAGGUAUUGGUUUAGGGUUUUUGUGAUCCUGAGUUUGGCAGACUGCAAUGGCAUUUUAGGUUCUUUUAUACCAUAGCAAGGACACUGAAUAUGGCUUCAGGGAGGCCAUAGAAUGGAUUCCUAUCACUUGGUAACUUUGUCUCUUCUGGGGAGAGACCUCUUAUCCUAGUGAAUAGUUGUGCAACUUUGGAUUUAAGGGUGGUUCCACCCCUCCUCCCUUUCUUUUUCUCUCUCUUUUUUUCAGUUCCUUCUUGGAGGGACCACUCAGUAGAGCCUCUAAGGGACCCAAAUCCUUCAGACCUUUUGGAGAACCUGGAUGACAGUGUGUUUUCGAAGCGGCAUGCAAAACUGGAGCUGGAUGAGAAGAGAAGGAAAAGAUGGGAUAUUCAGAGGAUCAGGGAACAAAGAAUUUUACAGCGACUGCAGCUCAGAAUGUAUAAAAAGAAAGGAAUUCAGGAAUCUGAGCCUGAGGUUACCUCAUUUUUCCCUGAGCCAGAUGAUGUUGAAAGUUUGAUGAUUACCCCCUUCUUGCCUGUUGUAGCAUUUGGACGACCAUUACCAA
rnacentral:sRNA from 1 species